rnacentral:rRNA from 1 species
UACGGAGGGUGCGAGCGUUGUCCGGAAUCACUGGGCGUAAAGGGCGCGUAGGCGGCGCGGAUAGUCGGCGGUGAAAGCCCGGAGCUCAACUCCGGGUCGGCCGUCGAUACUUCCGGGCUUGAGCACUGUAGAGGCAGAUGGAAUUCCGGGUGUAGCGGUGGUAUGCGUAGAGAUCCGGAAGAACACCGGUGGCGAAGGCGGUCUGCUGGGCAGUUGCUGACGCUGAUGCGCGACAGCGUGGGGAGCAAACAGG